CAAAAGAUGUUCCCAGUUUAAAUAAAGAAAUUUGGUAAUGACAUGAACGUCUGAUGUAUAUCAUGGAUAACGAAAUAUCAAUAGAAACCAUCAUCAUAGUACAUAGAGGAGAGACCUUUUUGAUCCUGCUUCAGAGAUUCGAAUGUUUCAUUCGAUGGUUUCUGAGCCGCGCAGUUCAGAGUGGCAGACCAGUCAGUGAGUGAGGCACAGCCAGGCAGGCAGGGAGGUUUUAGGCUGGUGCUCAGUCCUUUCCUAGCGCAGAGAAUUACGAUAGAAGAUACUGCAUAGGCGUGAGGCAAGACGUUUGUCUGGGUGCCGUGCUGCUGCACGGAACUGCAGCUGCCGCCCCCGUUGCAGUAAUAGCCGGGAUAAAGGCAUCCAAGGUGGAGGACGGCACGGCCCCAGCACUGGUUAGGUUUGUGGUGAUGUGGAGCCACCAGCCACAUAGCCACAUCCCCUCCACUCUUUCUUAAGCCCCAAGAAAAUCCCUCCACAGCUUUAGGGGAAGACAUGACAUGAAGAGCUCGUGUAGUCAUCCAUCGUCACCAAUCGGUCAGCUGCCUUUGUGCAAGUGGCUGAAAAUCUGCGAAUGAGGGAAUCCAUGAAUACAGGGGAACAAGUGCAUGCAGUAUUCAGCCUGGUGAGGAGCAAGAGAGAUGAAAAACAAUUAAUUGUGAGAAAGUGCAGCCAAAGGACACUCCUUGGUCUUUGGUGAAGAAGGGAAUUCCUAACUUAGACCAACUUCAAUCUUGGAUUCUCUUCUUGCAGGUGAAGGCAGUGUCUGCCAUCCAAUUAGUCUCCCAUCUGCCUAGCACCUCUGCAAGAGAAUCUUUGUUCAGCAGAGGGGAAGCUGAUUAUAAAUAAUCACAUUUUAGUACACCUGUGUAUGGUUUGCCUUAAUAGGGGCAUAUCAAUGCCACACUCUUUACAUAUGCAUGGCAGGCUAUGUUGACACCUCCAUACAGUUUCAGCUUUAGUCCAUUCAAUUGGGCUGGAUACCUGUCCCCUAGCCGAGUAAGUAAGGACACUUCUCAUUGACUGUUGGCAGACGGGUGUUUGACGUCUUUGUUGCCCAACAAGGUAGCCUAGUUUCAGAAAAUAUUCACAUUUCUCUACAAAGUACACAAAUUUUGACACGGAAAAAGCAGUAAUUGUACAACUAUAACACGUUUUUCAAAACUGUGUAAAAAAAUAAGGUAAAAUUAUGAUGAAUAGAUUCAAGUCAGAGAAAACAGUAAAGAAAUGUAAGUGCUUAGACAUCAUUUUACUAAUCAAAUAUGCAGCAAUUAUAGCACAAAUAGAAUAGAAUAUUUGUUUUUGUGCAUGAAAUUCUCCUGAAAAUUAUGGUACUUUGAUAUUAGAUAAUGUGAUACAUGAGUAGACAAGAAACGACUUGUACAAAGUUGUACGAUCAUGAAAGGUUAUUCUCUGACUGCUAUUCAACAUUAUUGUUUUACCCUAUUGAGUUUUGAAAACCACAUUGUAUUAAGGCCCGUCCACACGAUCGAGCAGUGCUCUCAAGCACAGGCGAGUGGUCUGCCCGUUGCUGGGCUUACCGCUUGUGCCCGCUGAAAACCUAGUAGUUUUUCAGCGGGCACAAGGAAGUUUUUCAGCUGACACAAGCGGUAAGCCCAUCGACGGGCAGACAGCUUGCCUGUGCCUGAGGGCACUGCUUGAUCGUGUGGACGGGCCUUUACCCUAUUGAGUUUUGAAAACCACAUUAGAAUUGUACAAUGAUUGCUCAAGACAAUGGUGUCAACAAAAAAUACCAUACCUAUCUUGUGUAACAGAUGCACUAAGUUAAAAAAAUGUGAAUAUUUUUUUA